rnacentral:rRNA from 1 species
AACGCCGCGUGGAGGAUGAAGGUCUUCGGAUUGUAAACUCCUGUUGCCCGGGACGAACAGCUCCGACCUACACGUCGGAGUCUGACGGUACCGGGUGAGGAAGCCCCGGCUAACUCCGUGCCAGCAGCCGCGGUAAUACGGAGGGGGCCAGCGUUGUUCGGAAUCAUUGGGCGUAAAGGGCGCGUAGGUGGCUGUGCAAGUCGGAGGUGAAAUCCCUCGGCCCAACCGAGGAACUGCCUCCGAAACUGCACAGCUCGAGUCCCGGAGAGGGCAGUGGAAUUCCCAGUGUAGCGGUGAAAUGCGUAGAUAUUGGGAGGAACACCGGUGGCGAAGGCGGCUGCCUGGACGGGUACUGACGCUGAGGCGCGAAAGCGUGGGGAGCAAACAGGAUUAGAUACCCUGGUAGUCCACGCUGUAAACGAUGGGCACUUGGUGUUGCGGGUAUCGACCCCUGCAGUGCCGAAGCUAACGCAUUAAGUGCCCCGCCUGGGGAGUACGGUCGCAAGGCUG